GAUGAACGCUGGCGGCGUGCCUAACACAUGCAAGUCGAACGAGAACCCAUUCUUCGGAUUGGGGGACAGUGGCGAACGGGUGAGUAACACGUUGGUGACCUGCCCCGAAGCGGGGGACAACCACGGGAAACUGUGGCUAAUACCGCAUGUGCUCCAGGGGGUUAGAGGACUCUGGAGUAAAGCUCCGGCGCUUCGGGAGGGCCUGCGGCCUAUCAGCUAGUUGGUGGGGUAAUGGCCUACCAAGGCUAAGACGGGUAGGGGGCGUGAGAGCGCGACCCCCCACAAUGGAACUGAGACACGGUCCAUACUCCUACGGGAGGCAGCAGUGAGGAAUAUUGCGCAAGUGGGGGCAACCCUGACGCAGCAACGCCGCGUGGGUGAUGAAGGCCUUCGGGUCGUUAAACCCUUUUCUGGGGGAAGAGAAAGGACGGUACCUCAGGAAUAAGUCCCGGCUAACUACGUG
rnacentral:rRNA from 1 species